GCCACUCUCUGCGCGCAGGUGGACCAGGAAGCUUCAGAGAUCUUCACUAUUCUCCGGUCCCAGAUGAAAACCAGAUUGUGUAGCAGUUUAAACAUCGCAGAUGCUGCCGGACCUGCUGAUUUCAGACUCAGACAGCCGGAGAGUUUAGUUGGUGAACUUGCCCGUCAGGAUACUGCCUAGAUGUGCGCGAUGAGAAUGCUACAGAAUAUAUGUCCCUCAACCAGGUGUGGAAGAAAAUUUUUUGCUGUGUGAUAGCGGACCACGUCCCGGCCGGAUAUGAAUCUUCGGAAGACAGAGCUGGCUCCAACACUUAGUGACAUCUUCAUCAGAGAACAUUAAACGGGGAAGACCACACAAACAAUCAUGCAAAUGCAGCCCACUGUUGAUUAUAAUACAAACUUAGCAUGCAACAUCCACCAUAUGGAAAUUAAUAGAUGACCUGUGUAAAUUGGAUGUUAUUGAGUACUUGAGGAGCCUUGCUCAUAAUUACUAAAUGAACUAAAUAAAGCUUCGUUACAGUUUUUAGUGAUUAACAGAUUUGAUGUUUUUACUUUUCAGUUAAGUUACAGUUUUAAAACUUUUUAAAGUUCUACCUUUGAAUGAUGAUGAAUCAAUCAACAUUUUUUUCCGAGCACCAAAACGUCCGUUGCCAAAUGGGCUGGCGCCAUAUCAGCUGGUGCCCCAAAUGGCCGUGCCAAAAUGCCGGCACCCAAACGGCUGCGCCCAAUCAUCCCAUUCCGCUAAUGAUACUGUAGGGCUGAAGGAGUUAUAGGGUGAGGCCAUGGAGAAAUAGAGUCAUAGAGUCAUAGAGAUGUACAGCAUGGAAACAAACCCUUCGGUCCAACCCGUCCAU